rnacentral:rRNA from 1 species
GACGAACGCUGGCGGCGUGCUUAACACAUGCAAGUCGAACGGAAAGGCCCUGCUUUUGUGGGGUGCUCGAGUGGCGAACGGGUGAGUAUCACGUGAGUAACCUGCCCUUGACUUUGGGAUAACUUCAGGAAACUGGGGCUAAUACCGGAUAUGAGCUCCUGCUGCAUGGUGGGGGUUGGAAAGUUUCGGCGUUUGGGGAUGGACUCGCGGUUUAUCAGCUUGUUGGUGGGGUAGUGGCUUACCAAGGCUUUGACGGGUAGCCGGCCUGAGAGGGUGACCGGCCACAAUGGGACUGAGAUACGGCCCAGACGCAUACGGGAGGCAGCAGUGGGGAAUAUUGCACAAAGGGCGGAAGCCUGAUGCAGCAACGCCGCGUGCGGGAUGACGGCCUUCGGGUUGUAAACCGCUUUCGCCUGUGACGAAGAGUGAGUGACGGUAAUGGGUAAAGAAGCACCGGCUAACUACGUG